rnacentral:rRNA from 1 species
GAUGAACGCUGGCGGCGUGCCUAAUACAUGCAAGUCGAGCGAACGGACGAGAAGCUUGCUUCUCUGAUGUUAGCGGCGGACGGGUGAGUAACACGUGGAUAACCUACCUAUAAGACUGGGAUAACUUCGGGAAACCGGAGCUAAUACCGGAUAAUAUUUUGAACCGCAUGGUUCAAAAGUGAAAGACGGUCUUGCUGUCACUUAUAGAUGGAUCCGCGCUGCAUUAGCUAGUUGGUAAGGUAACGGCUUACCAAGGCAACGAUGCAUAGCCGACCUGAGAGGGUGAUCGGCCACACUGGAACUGAGACACGGUCCAGACUCCUACGGGAGGCAGCAGUAGGGAAUCUUACGCAAUGGGCGAAAGCCUGACGGAGCAACGCCGCGUGAGUGAUGAAGGUCUUCGGAUCGUAAAACUCUGUUAUUAGGGAAGAACAUAUGUGUAAGUAACUGUGCACAUCUUGACGGUACCUAAUCAGAAAGCCACGGCUAACUACGUGCCAGCAGCCGCGGUAAUACGUAGGUGGCAAGCGUUAUCCGGAAUUAUUGGGCGUAAAGCGCGCGUAGGCGGUUUUUUAAGUCUGAUGUGAAAGCCCACGGCUCAACCGUGGAGGGUCAUUGGAAACUGGAAAACUUGAGUGCAGAAGAGGAAAGUGGAAUUCCAUGUGUAGCGGUGAAAAUGCGCAGAGAUAUGGAGGAACACCAGUGGCGAAGGCGACUUUCUGGUCUGUAACUGACGCUGAUGUGCGAAAGCGUGGGGAUCAAACAGGAUUAGAUACCCUGGUAGUCCACGCCGUAAACGAUGAGUGCUAAGUGUUAGGGGGUUUCCGCCCCUUAGUGCUGCAGCUAACGCAUUAAGCACUCCGCCUGGGGAGUACGACCGCAAGGUUGAAACUCAAAGGAAUUGACGGGGACCCGCACAAGCGGUGGGGCAUGUGGUUUAAUUCGAAGCAACGCGAAGAACCUUACCAAAUCUUGACAUCCUUUGACAACUCUAGAGAUAGAGCCUUCCCCUUCGGGGGACAAAGUGACAGGUGGUGCAUGGUUGUCGUCAGCUCGUGUCGUGAGAUGUUGGGUUAAGUCCCGCAACGAGCGCAACCCUUAAGCUUAGUUGCCAUCAUUAAGUUGGGCACUCUAAGUUGACUGCCGGUGACAAACCGGAGGAAGGUGGGGAUGACGUCAAAUCAUCAUGCCCCUUAUGAUUUGGGCUACACACGUGCUACAAUGGACAAUACAAAGGGCAGCGAAACCGCGAGGUCAAGCAAAUCCCAUAAAGUUGUUCUCAGUUCGGAUUGUAGUCUGCAACUCGACUACAUGAAGCUGGAAUCGCUAGUAAUCGUAGAUCAGCACGCUACGGUGAAUACGUUCCCGGGUCU